AGUUUUGUGUGGUCUGUUUGAAGAACCUGAAUAAUACAUAACCAAAGCAAGCAAAUACAAACCUGGACUAAUACAUAACCGAAGCAAACAAAUACAAGAGACCCCAGGGAUGCUCACGCACAGAGGAAAGACCAUGUGGAAACACAGUGAGAAGGCGGCCAUCUGCAAGCCAAGGAAAGAGGCCUCAGAAGAAAUCAAAGCUGUCAACACCUUCAUCUUGUACUUCUAGCCACCAUAAUGGUGAGAAAACAAUUUUUUUGCUGUUUAAGCCACCCAGUCUGGGAUAUUUUAUUAACAUCAAAACGAGUGAUGGCUAAUUUUAUGAGUCAACUUGACUGGGCCAUCGAGUGCACAGAUAUUUGACUAAAUAUUGUCUGAGUUUGCCUGUGAGGGUGUUUCUGAGUGAGAUUGACAUUUGAAUUGGCGGACUGAGGAAAGCAGAUUGCCCUCCUUAAUGUGGGUGGGCCUUGUCCAAUCUGUUGAAAGCCUGAAGAGAAUAAAAUGAUGGGUAAAAAGAAUUUAUUCUCUCUCCCUAACUGUUCCCUAACUGUUUGAGCUGGCACCUUGAUCUUCUGCCUUUGGACUCAAGACUUGGAUUAGAACUUACAUCACUGGCUCUCCUAGUUCAUGGACUUGGACAGGAAUGAUACUAU